GGAGAGACAAUUCUCACCAAUUUUCCCCCAAAAUAAACCCUUAAUCACAUUAAUGAAUAUUUGGCUAUAAAGUCAUUUAUAUAGUCACUUCUUUAAGUGACCUAAACAACCAAAAAACCCUAAUUCAUCUUCAUGGCCGGCCAUAUAGAGAGAUUUGGGCUUUUGGGCCUUAAUGAAUCUUUAUUCAUUAAUUGUCAUACAACUUAAGUUAAUGGGCUUGACGUUCGAAGCCCAUUGGGCCUUAAGGUCCAAAACUAUCC
rnacentral:lncRNA from 1 species